rnacentral:rRNA from 1 species
AAUGAACGUUGGCGGCGUGGAUUAGGCAUGCAAGUCGUGCGAGAACUUUUCUUAGCUUGCUUUGAAAGGGGACAGCGGCGAAAGGGAGAGUAACGCGUGGUUACGUGCCCUCGAGACCGGGAUAGUGUCGGGAAACUGGCAGUAAUACCGGAUAACAUCUUCGGAUCAAAUGGUGUGAUUCCGCUCGAGGAUCGGACCGCGUACUAUUAGCUUGUUGGUGGGGUAACGGCCUACCAAGGCUGCGAUGGUUACCGGGUGUGAGAGCAUGGCCCGGCUCACUGGGACUGAGACACUGCCCAGACAUCUACGGAUGGCUGCAGUCGAGAAUCUUCGGCAAUGGACGAAAGUCUGACCGAGCGACGCCGCGUGCGGGAUGAAGGCCCUCGGGUUGUAAACCGCUGUCAGUUUGGAGGAAAUCCAUGGUGGUUAUCCAUCAUGGUUGACCGAUAUUCAGAGGAAGGACGGGCUAAGUUCGUGCCAGCCGCCGCCGUAACAC